UACGUAGGGUGCAAGCGUUAAUCGGAAUUACUGGGCGUAAAGCGUGCGCAGGCGGUUGUGUAAGACAGAUGUGAAAUCCCCGGGCUCACCUGGGAACUGCAUUUGUGACUGCACAGCUGGAGUGCGGCAGAGGGGGAUGGAAUUCCGCGUGUAGCAGUGAAAUGCGUAGAUAUGCGGAGGAACACCGAUGGCGAAGGCAAUCCCCUGGGCCUGCACUGACGCUCAUGCACGAAAGCGUGGGGAGC
rnacentral:rRNA from 1 species